GUCGUAACAAGGUUUCCGUAGGUGAACCUGCGGAAGGAUCAUUACCGGUAUCCAUUCCGAACCCCGUGCGAACGGGCUCCUGCUCUUUGGAGUGGGGCCGCCGGUCGUCCUCGCGACGGCCUCUGCGUGCCGCCUCCCGUGUCACUGUGGCGCGGGUUGGGGGCGCGUGGGCAUGCGGCCGCGCGUGGCAAUCCUGAAUUGCCGCGAGCGCGCCGUUCGGGAGCGCGCCGAUUCUUCGGCUUGCUCCGCCCCACCCCACCGCGCGCGCGAGUCUCUUAGACCCGCGCGCGCCCCACCACAAACCUAACCACAACUCCUGUCGAAGGAUAUCUUGGCUCCCGCAACGAUGAAGAACGCAGCGAAAUGCGAUACGUAAUGUGAAUUGCAGAAUUCAGUGAAUCAUCGAGACUUUGAACGCACAUGGCAUUUCCAAGUUUCGCUUGGAAGUAUGUUCCUUCGAGUGGAGUUCCCACCCCACCUCGGUGGCGCCCCCCCCCGCGGGGGCGCGGCCGGAGGCGGCCUCUGGCGCGCAUUCGGUUGCGCGUCACUGGCUGAAGCUGGGGAGUGCGGGGCGUGCGCUCCGGGCGCCGGCCCGGCGUUAUUAGAUGUCCGGGUUGGCGUUCCAGGGGUGUUGCCUCCAGAUGGGCCCGAGCGGUUCCCAUCGGCGUGCUAGUGGCGUCUCCUCGCGAGCGCCGACGGUCGCUGAUGUGCCGCUCGAUCUCGUGCCGGUCUGGGUUCACAGGCGAUCCCUUUUGCGAGCGCGCGUCCGCCUCCCAGCCGCGCAAUAUCGUUGCGCGGCGGCGAGGGCGCCUUUAUUAUUGUGCGCCCUGCGUCUGAACCUCCUCCAUCGAAUGGAGCAAGACUACCCGCUGAACUUAAGCAUAUCACUAAGCGGAGGAAAAGAAACCAACAGGGAUGCCCCUAGUAAUGGCGAAUGAAGCGGGCAGAGCUCACGCCGGAAAUCCGGAGGCCUCUUACAGCCGCCUCCUGAAUUGUAGUCUGGAGAGGUGCCAUCGGUCCCCCUCGGCGCCAAAAUCCCUUGGAACGGGGUAUCGGAGAAGGUGAGAAUCCUGUCAAGCGCCGGAGUGGGACCGUACGAUGUGCUCUCGUAGAGUCGGGCUGCUUGGGAGUGCAGCCUGAAGCGGGUGGUAAAUUCCAUCUAAAGCUAAAUACUGGCGGGAGACCGAUAGCGAACAAGUACCGUGAGGGAAAGAUGCAAAGAACUUUGAAAAGAGAGUUAAAGAGUGCUUGAAAUUGGCAGGAGGAAACCCGGUUGCGCGUGGCAUUUGGCGUGGUCGACUCAGCCGCGCGCGGAGAUCUGUAGGGGACCUAACGGCCUCGUGGUCAGCGCGCGCGGUGCACUUCGGCCGCGUCGGUCAGCCGCGUUUCUGCGCGGCCCAUACGGCCGCGGGCAGGGCUUCGGCGCCGCCCGCGGUUUGGGGGUCGCGCGGGAUCCCGGCUGAUGCGCACGGGCGCAACCGACCCGUCUAGAAACACGGACCAAGGAGUCUGACGCGUGUGCGAGUACUAGAGUGGCAAGCUCGAGUGCGCAAUGAAAGUGAAGGGCGUGCCCCGUCAACCGAUCUUGAUCUUCUGUGAAGGGUUUGAGUGGAGCACAUCUGUCGGGACCCGAAAGAUGGUGAACUAUGCGUGAA
rnacentral:rRNA from 1 species